rnacentral:rRNA from 1 species
CUGCGGAGGGUGCAAGCGUUAUUCGGAAUCACUGGGCGUAAAGGACGCGUAGGCGGGUUGGCAAGUCAGAUGUGAAAUCCUACAGCUUAACUGUAGAACUGCAUUUGAAACUGCUAACCUAGAGUAUGGGAGGGGGAGAUGGAAUUAGUGGUGUAGGGGUAAAAUCCGUAGAUAUCACUAGGAAUACCGAAAGCGAAGGCGAUCUCCUGGAACAUAACUGACGCUAAGGCGUGAAAGCGUGGGGAGCAAAAAGGAUUAGAAACCCUAGUAGUCC